rnacentral:rRNA from 1 species
AAUUAUUAAUCUUGAACGAGGAAUGCCUAGUAGCAUGAUUCAUCAGAUUGUGCUGACUACGUCCCUGCCCUUUGUACACACCGCCCGUCGCUCCUACCGAUUGAAAGAUAUGAUGAAUUGUUUGGACAAGAAAAUAGAAAUUUUAUUUUUAUUUUUUUG